rnacentral:lncRNA from 1 species
AUCGAAACAAGAUCUUCAAUUGGCCAGCCCCUUUCCUCAGUGAGGUCAUCGCGGGCGUCCAAUCCAUCAACCAGACAGAGGUCAGAUCGGUCACUUCUUUGCAAGGCUAUGCUGUAGCAGUGUCUCGCCAAGGCUUGAUUCCCUUUGACCUCUCCAACCCCCUGGCCCGUAGGAAACUUCAACUUUAAAUGGUAGGUCGACACC